UACGGGGGGAGCAAGCGUUGUUCGGAUUUACUGGGCGUAAAGGGCGCGUAGGCGGCCACGACAAGUCACUUGUGAAAUCUCCGGGCUUAACUCGGAACGGUCAAGUGAUACUGUCGGGCUAGAGUGCAGAAGGGGCAACUGGAAUUCUCGGUGUAGCGGUGAAAUGCGUAGAUAUCGAGAGGAACACCUGCGGCGAAGGCGGGUUGCUGGGCUGAUACUGACGCUGAGGCGCGAAAGCGUGGGGAGCGAACAGG
rnacentral:rRNA from 1 species